UGGCACACAGAGAGAUCUGAAGGGGCUCCACUGCAGGCGGUGAAGAUGAGGAAGGGGCCGCAAGCCGAGGAAGGCAGGUGCCCCUAGAAGCUGAAUUCUCCCUUAGACCUUCCAGAAGGAACCCAGCCCUGUGGACACUUUGCUUUCAGGACUGCUGCCUUCCAGAACUUCCAGAUAAUACAUUUGCAUUGUUUAAGCAAUUGAGCUUGCAGAGAUUUGUUUCAGCAGCAGUAGGAAGCUGCUACAACUCCCACUUUGCAGCUGGGGUAACCGAGGCUCGUCUGCUCAGAGACAGGUGGCCCCUCGGAAGGCACUGUCUUCCGCAGGAGACGUCCUGUCCUUGUGGCCGUGCCCGUCUGCAGGGGCGGUGACCAGCGCCAAAGAAGCCUGUGCCGCUGCUCUGGGGCCUGUCAGGCCUCACACGGGAGGGACCAGAUGCCAUGCGGCAUUUCUCCGGGCCCGAGAUCCUGACUCAGGCCACACUCCCAGUCCCUCCACCACUGCCAGGCUGAUGCACUGGAAAAAAAAGAAAAAAGAAAGAAAAAAAAAAGCCAGCAUUUUGCAGAACUUUUGCUCCAUUAUCGGAUGUUGGGGGCCAGCCCCUGAGAGCUCUCCUCAGCACUCCUCCUUCCAAUUGAGAGCCCUCAGAGAGCCCAGCAGGGGCUGCACAUAGCAGGCAUGCUCGAUACUGCUGCUGCCUGAAUCGCCCACAUGCUGGCGGAGGCCGACUCUGCAUCACCACGCGCACUUUGACGAAGCCACUCUCCCCUCCUUCAUCCACUCGGAGCAAUCACUAAAAAGAGCAAGAGAAAUGCUUUACUAUCAAGCAAAAAUGCAAGAUGCCAAAUUGGGCAAAGAACAAAAAGGAACGUACACACUGAAUGUGCACGUGGUAAGCGCCAGGAGGGAGCUCACAAACGUGACCUCUGGACGAGUGGAGGAAUAUGGAAAGUCUUCAUUUGCAAAGCUCCCAGUACUGGCAGCGCCGUGGCUGCAGCUCCAGCUCGGAGAGGAGGAGGGACUCAGCCAUGCAGCCACUGGAGCUCAGGCACUUCGAUACCUGCUGUUGAUUCCCUGAGAGUCCUUGAUGCGGAACCCACCCGGGAACUUGAGAGAGCCGUGAGAAACCAUUUCCCAAAAGCCUUCCCAGACUUUAUCUGGCCCAAGUUCCCAGGUGACGGGGUUGCAAGGCCGCCCGCCACGCCCACGGUGACAGAGCCUGACUCCCAGCUCGCAGGAGCAUCCUUCACGCCGCGGCGGGUCAGGAACGUCGUCUUCAGACUUGAUGAAAUUUUCAUUCCUGACGUUAAUGGUGUCUUUCUCUCCGCCCCGCUCCCCAAUCUAACCAGACCAAAUACAGGAGGCCGUGGAGGGCAGGCAGCAGGCAUCUGGGGACACAUAGGCCUCCUCCUGUGCUUGUGUCUUACUUACAACCACUACACAAUAUCCCGUCAGGGCCACGCCACCCUCACUUAACCAAAUGCCUAUCCUUCGAGCAUUGAGCUGUUCCUACCUCUAUUGCUAUAAGCAAUAGUUCUGAACAUCUUUGUGCAUAAUUUUCCUUCCAAAUUCUAGAUGAUUUCCUUUGAGACAUUUCCAGAGGCAUAGUUCCUGGAUCAAAGGCAAAAGCCUUUUAAGGUCUUAGAUACAUAUGCCAAACGGUCUCCUGAGACGUCGGUGUGCAGCCCUGCAUGAGUCCAGCCAAACUAGCCAGUGCGGGGCGAAUGCUUGGUCUUUUUUUUUUUUUUUUUUUUUAAGAUUUUAUUUAUUUAUUCUUGAGAGACAGAGACACAGGCAGAGGGAGAAGCAGGCUUCAUGCAGGGAGCCUGACGUGGGACUCAAUCCCGGGACCCCAGGAUCACGGCCUGGGCCGAAGGCGGUGCUAAACCACUGAGCCACCCGGGCUGCCCCAAAUGCUUGGUCUUGAAUCCUUCGUUAAUCAAACUCACUGGAAGUCAUACAAGAGCUUCAGAUGGACAGAAGCUCCCACCAGGAUGACCACGCUGAGCUGACAUGAUUCCAUGCCAAAGUGAGGUGUGUGCUGUUUUCACAGCCUUCUAGCUCCAGAGCAGGGACGCGAGGUUCUUUUGUACCAUUCUGGAAGAUGGAGAAACCGGAUGACACAGGUUCUGGGAACCAAGAUGGCCUCACCUCCCUCCAUGCAGGUGACCCUGCCAUCUCUGCUCCUGUGUCGGGGUUUCCUAAAUGCACUCCCUGUGUUGGCUGUAGUUAUGUGAACAUUUACUUGUUGCUUAAAAUUAAGGUAAA